rnacentral:snRNA from 1 species
AUUGCUUCUCAGUCUUUUGACUAAGAUCAAGAGUAGUAUCUAUUAUCAUUUAACAAUUCUUUCUCUCCUUUAAUAUGUAAACUUCUCCCAGCUUCUUGCUAGUUUUAUAACCUAUAACUCUCUCUAGGCCCUAAGAGUCUAGGAACCCCC